UGGAUCUGAAUUACUUUUAUACUCG
rnacentral:piRNA from 2 species